GAUGAAGAACGUAGCGAAAUGCGAUAAGUAAUGUGAAUUGCAGAAUUCAGUGAAUCAUCGAAUCUUUGAACGCACCUUGCGCUCCUUGGUAUUCCGAGGAGCAUGCCUGUUUGAGUGUCAUUAAAUUCUCAACCUUAUUCAGCUUUUGUUUAGCUGAAUGAGGCUUGGAUUUGUGGGGGUUUGGUGCAGGCUUUUCUUUGAAAGUCGGCUCCCCUUAAAUGCAUUAGCGGAAAAAAAAACCCGCGUAUUUGGUGUGAUAAUUAUCUGCAUCAAUGCUACAAAGGUUCACUUUUUCGGCUUCGAAUCGUCCUCUUAAAGAGGACAACGCUUAAUUGACAUUUUGACCUCAAAUCAGGUAGGACUACCCGCUGAACUUAAGCAUAUCAAUAAGCGGAGGA
rnacentral:misc_RNA from 1 species